rnacentral:rRNA from 1 species
AGCAGUCGCCACGGGAAUACGAAGGGGGCUAGCGUUGUUCGGAAUUACUGGGCGUAAAGCGCACGUAGGCGGCUUGGUAAGUUAGAGGUGAAAGCCUGGAGCUCAACUCCAGAAUUGCCUUUAAGACUGCCGAGCUAGCAGGUGAGAGAGGUAAGUGGAAUUCCGAGUGUAGAGGUGAAAUUCGUAGAUAUUCGGAAGAACACCAGUGGCGAAGGCGGCUUACUGGCUCAUACUGGACGCUGAGGUGCGAAAGCGUGAGGAGCAAACAGGAUUAGAUACCCCCGUAGUCCCUGUCUCUUAUAC